AAUUCCCCAACUAGUCUGAUGAGAGGGG
rnacentral:sRNA from 1 species